UUUCCGGUAAGCGGGUUGGUCAUGUCUGCCAGAAAGGCUCGCUCGGUGGCGAACCCUUUGGAGUCUGCUAUCACUUCACCGAGUGAGAGGAUACUGAAAGAAUGUCACAGUUUGUAUGUUGACAGCGAAAACGGCCUGGUAAAGAUUGCCAGCAGCCAAGGAGUACGCCUUCUUCCCCCCAGAAAGAAGAUUAUUGUGAUGAUCAUGGGGAACCAUUCUGCCGGAAAAAGCUCCUUCAUCAACUGGUAUGUUGAGGAGCAUAUCCAAAAAACUGGUGUUGCCAUUGAAACGCAGGGCUUCACAUUCAUCACAAGUGGGCGUAAAAGAGAAUCAUUGACGGGGAAUGCAACACUUCAUCUAUACCCCCAUUUUCGACCGCUCCUUGAGUUUAAAGGUGUUAUGGACUAUCUAUCUGCUGAGAUAUCCACCUCCAAGCAGAAGAAGUUCAGCCUUGUGACCUUUGUGGACACACCAGGCUUAGUGGAUGGGGACAUGAUCUACCCUUUUAAUGUUAACAGCGCCAUCACAUGGUUAGGAGAGCAGUCGGACCUGAUAUUUGUGUUCUUUGACCCCAUGGGUCAGGCGCUGUGCAAGCGCACGCUGAACAUUGUGGAGAAGCUGAGUGAGAAGUGUGGGGACAAGCUGUUGUUCUACCUCAGCAAAGCUGACGAAGCUGGAAAGGAAACCGAUCGACAAAGAGUGAUGAUGCAGAUUGUCCAGGAAUUGUGCCGCCGCCCAGGUCUCAACAAAUGUGGUUUUGAAAUGCCAACAAUAUAUAUCCCUAACCCGCAGAAGCCAAACCGCUGUGUGAACCAAAUCGACGGAGUUUGUCAGACCAUCGAAAAGACCAUCAACCAGGCUGUGCAGAGAACUUUGGACCAGUUAGAAAAAGACUGUGAUCUAAUUUGCUUUACCAUCAGCAGCAGACUACAACAGGACAGAACUGAUGCCUCAUACAACAAAAGCGUUCGACUGCACUCGUUCGUAUGUGGUGCUAUGGGAGUUGUCCUUCCUCUGCUCUUCAUUCUCAGUUUCAUUCUGAGCACUUUCCCCAAGGAGCAGCUGAGUAAUCUGAUGGGAGAGGGGCUGGCACACACCCUUUCUGUCUGUACAGGAAUUGUGAUGUACCUAUGGGAGUGGAUUCCGGAAGAUGGGCAAGUUGUCUUUGUGAUCCUUUUUGGAGCCUUUUGUUACCUCCUACUUUUCCUCUCUAAAUACUUCUCUGGUCAAGGAAACAAGACUCUAACAAAGAAGGAGAAGAGAGUGAUGACAGAGUACAGUGAUUAUAUCCAGGAUAUCGUCAAAGCCAAAAAGGGUAAAUUGUAUGAAUGGUACCUCCAGCAAUGUGCUGCAGAAUAUGACCUUUGACUCCGGUCCACUUGCAUUGGAGCCAAAUGGUGCAGUACUUGGCCAGAUCCAGCAGAGAGAGCUGCACCUGCAUUGGUGGAAUACCCCGUUACAUUAUGUAAUUUUUUUAACCAUCGAACAGGUCAGCAGAGCUUUUUUAAACGGGACUGUCUCGACCCCAAUGAUGGAGACGGAGUGGGCCUUGUCCGUCAGAGCUGCAGCCACCUCCAUACCUGCCAACAGUCUCAAUCAACACUUAAAAUGUUGAGACUUUAGGCCUGUCAUAAGGAGGAUGUCUGUCCAUGGUGCACAUGACGAUGCGGUCCGUGAAGCCCUCUUGCCUCAGCGUCUCCGCACACACCAGACCUGCUGGACCUGCACACAUCAAUCAUCACUCAGAUCUUUGACAUGGCAGACGGAGGCCUCCACGUAGUCCCGUGAUUUGUGGUACGCUUGGAGAGGGGUGGAGUCGUCGUCCGAGCUGUGCCCCAGGGCCCCAUUUGGCCUGCAGUCCGCAAAGGGACUUGCCUUGCCAUUAGGAACAGAUCUCAGCUAAAAGAGGCAGCCCAAACUCGAAUUGAGGACAAAUCAAGUGUGACAACUCCUUCAGUGAAACAAAUGGAAGAUGGGAUAAGGUGUCUGGACUAAUUUAAAGGGCAAAAAUGCCUUCUUUCUUGCUUUUUUUCUCAUUCAUUCCACAGUCUUAAAGCUCAUGAACUGUCUUCUAAGCAGCAAAACAUUUAACAUGGGAAUAUUUUAGUGCUGUCAAACAAUUUUGAAUUUGUAAUCAGAUUAAUUACAAUGAAUCACAAUUAGACAUAUUAUUCAUUUUCAUAUAUAUUAAUGGUGAUUUUGCAUGUGCAAAUAGACUCAAAAAAGAGGGUAAAAUACAGUGGAACCUCGAUUCACAAACUUAAUUGGUUCUAAAACAGGGUUCGUAAAUUGAAAAUUUCAUAUAGCGAUGCACAAUACUCCAUAAGAAACAAUGCAAAUAUAAAUAAUGGGUUCCAGCCUCAAUAAAAGUCCAUAUUUAUGUGGUUUGUACACUUUGAACACAUGAAGUGCUAUACAGAAUUAUAUAUCAAAGAAACAUAACAAGGGGGUGAUGGAUCAACUUUAGAUUUAGUAACAGGCCAAAACGACGACAACUGUGGCAGGGGACAGUGGCAGCGAUUAUCUUUUCAAACGCUGGUCUUUUUUGGCGAUGUACAUCCAUUUUCUUCUUUACAUUGUUCCUGAUGCCCAACCUUUUUUUUUUAAAUUAUUUUUAGCCUAUGUGCGGUUUUCUGUAGCAGGAGAAAGAAACUCCUCCUUCUGAGUUAUCAAUGGGCAGCGCUUGCUGUUCUCAAUCACAUGGCUACUUUCAAUAUGGUUUGCAUAUAUAUAAAGGAGCGAGGUCUGGGUGUGCAAAUCUAGGCAGACAUCUGCGGUUGAUUCCAAGUAGAUUGUGAUGUAACAAAUGAAUAUGCUUGGAUUUUUGCGUGCGAACACUUUCAUACAUCUGAAGUUUUACUGACGUACGCCAUUUCCUGGAUUUGUUAGUACGUCCAUAUUUCGUAGGAAAGCCACGCAACUCUCUGAACAUGAGGCCCUUGUUCUACAGAAUGUACAUAGUACUUUACAUGACUGUUCAGUCAUGUUUUUUUGUACUCAUAUUUCGGAUAGAGAGGAUCACAUUGACAGCAGCCUGUCAUUACCGAAUCAACUGCACAUUUGUGACAGUAACACUACUUGGACAAACUGCCUGAAGUGCAUUGCUGGAGACGAUAAGGGAUUUUGAGGAAUUAUUCGCAGCAGAUGUGUCAAUGACAUUACAUGUUUUAAUGAAAUUAAUAAUAACAAAUGAAUCCGUAUUAAAACAUUCCUUUUUGACAGCCUUAAAAUAUUUAUAUAUUUAAAUUAAGUCUAUUUAAAUGUAAAUUGUAUUAUCUAAAUGUCAUUUUAAUGAUAGUAUAGUACAAUUUAGCAAACUAUAUAUGAACUAUGGUUGACUCGAUACCAAUAUUUUGGUACCGGUACCAAAAUGUAUUUUGAUGCUUUUCAAUACUUUUUUUAAAUAAAGGGGACCUAAAAAAAAUUGCAUUAUAGGCUUUGUUUUAACACAAAAAAAUUAUGGUACAAUAAACAUGUUUCUUAUUGCAAUCGAAGAAUAAUCUUGUCAUUAAAUAAAAUAGUGAACAUAGUCUCCUGAAACUGCGGAAGUUAGUUUGCUUAAAAGAAACAUCAGUUUUUCUGACUUUUAAUAGUAAGUAAACAAACAAAGGCUCCUAAUUUGUCUGCUGACGUAUGCAGUAACAUAUUGUGUCAUUUCUCAUUCUAUUAUUUUAUCAAAAUUAUAAAGAACAAGCUGUAAAAACUGAUUACUAAUAUACUUGUUAAUUUACUGGUCAUAUCUGGUUAUUUUUAGUCUCAACAUCAUCUAUCUACACUUCUGUUAAAAUGUAAUAAUCACUUAUUCUUCUGUUGUUUGGAUACUUUACAUCAGUUUUGGAUGAUACCACAAAUUUAGGUAAUGAUCCGAUACCAAGUCGUUAAAGGGUCAUACAUUGUUCAUAAUUUAAGUUCUCGUGUCCAGGGACAGUGUAUGAAUAUAAUAUGAAUUUAAAAAUAAACUUUUUUUUCCCCGAUAAAAAAUACUAAUGUAAUCAUAGUAGUAUCGAUUAGAUACGCUCUUGUACUUGGUAUCAUUACAGUGGAUGUUAGGUGUAGAUCCACCCAUGGCGUUUGUUUACAUCGUGACGCCGGUGAGCUAUUGUAUCCUAUUCCUCGUCCUGCAGGGAUGAUACUUGUAAGAAACGUACUUUAUUUGUUGCCAUGGAGGCGAGGAUAAGUAAUUUAGAAGUAGCUACAACACUGCCCAUUGCGGAUGGACAUUAGCCGCUAACUCGCUGGCCAGGUUUUAAAGCACAUCUACCGGAGGGUAUUUCAGUGUUAUAGCUUCACCUUUAUCGUUAGUUUUUAAGCCAAAAUGCGUCUGUCUACACACUGUGUCUGGUUGUAAGUACUCAGUGAUUGUGCGCUGCCGAAGAAGCUCAUCUGCUCGUAAAGCCAGCAAUGUCAUGACGUGACAACGACUUGCCGUCAUGCCUGAAAAAAAAAAAAAAUAUAUAUAUAUAUAUG